rnacentral:rRNA from 1 species
GGAGUAACCUGCCCCUUAACUCUGGGAGUAAAGACCCCGUAGGGGAAACUGGGU